CGCGCGCACUCCGCUCGCCCUGGACGUCGGCCGCGCUCACGCCGACAUCUAUUGAGUGCGUGCUGUGUGCGUCCGCAGUGCGGAGACACGGCGAACUGGAGGGAGCGCGCCUUUCCAAGAUUGAUUUUGAGCCAUGGCGUCCUCUUCGGAAGGAAGUGGUGAUGCCCUGCUGCCAGAUUUCCCCAGAGGGCCCCUGCACGCGUACCGCGCCCGCGCCUCCUUCAGCUGGAAGGAGCUGGCGCUGUUCUUGGAAGGGGAGGACAUGCUGCGCUUUAAGAAAACCAUCUUCUCAACUCUGGAGAAUGACCCACUCUUUGCGCCUCCCCGUGGAGGCGAUCUGUCAAUGGAGAAGUACCGGGAACUGAACUUCCUGCGCUGCAGGCGGGUCUUUGAGUAUGACUUCCUCCCAGUAGAAGACAUGCUCCGGAGCCCUCUGAAAGUCCUGGUGCUGAUCAACUGCCUGGGCGCGUAUGACUGGUCCCUGGUAUCCAAAUUCAUCCUCCAUAUGUUGAUUUUUGGAUCAACAAUUUACCACUCUGGCUCUGAAAGACAUUUCAAAUAUAUGCCAAAGAUCUUCGGAAUGGAGAUUUUUGGAUGUUUUGCUUUGACUGAACUGAGUCACGGGACUAAUACCAAGGCUAUCCGGACGACUGCUCACUACGACCCCGCCACUGAGGAAUUCAUCAUACAUUCCCCCGAUUUUGAAGCUGCCAAGUUUUGGGUCGGCAACAUGGGCAAGACUGCUACCCACGCGGUGGUGUUCGCGCAGCUGCACACGCCGGGGGGCGGGUGUCAUGGCCUGCACUCCUUCAUCGUGCAGAUUCGGGACCCGAAGACCCUUCUCCCUGUGCCAGGGGUGAUGGUUGGUGACAUAGGGAGGAAGCUUGGGCAGAAUGGUCUGGACAAUGGAUUCGCCAUGUUCCACAAGGUUAGAAUUCCUCGCCAAGACCUCCUGAACCGGAUUGGAGAUGUCACCCCUGAGGGCACCUAUGUCACCCCCUUCAAGGAUGACAGGCAGCGCUUCGCAGCGUCCCUGGGUAGCUUAUCCACUGGCCGGGUGUCCAUCAUGAGCAUGUCCGUCGUUAAUCUGAAGCUGGCCAUCUCCAUAGCACUUCGCUUCUCUGCCACUCGGCGUCAGUUUGGACCGACGGACGAGGAGGAGAUACCGGUUCUUGAGUAUCAGGUGCAGCAAUGGCGCCUCCUUCCGUAUCUGGCAGCUGCCUACGCCCUGGACCACUUUUCCACAUGGCUCUUCCUGGACCUGGUAGAGCUUCAGCAAGGCCUCCUGGCGAAAGACCCCAGUGCCAGGCAGGCAGAGCUCGGCCGUGAGAUCCACGCCUUGGCAUCCGCUGGCAAGCCCCUGGCCUCAUGGACUGCCCAGCAGGGAAUUCAGGAAUGCAGAGAGGCAUGCGGAGGACACGGCUAUCUGGCCAUGAACCGGCUGGGCGACCUCCGAAAUGACAACGAUCCGAACUGCACGUAUGAAGGUGACAACAACGUCCUGCUGCAGCAGACCAGCAGCUAUCUGCUCAGCCUGCUGGCCCGCCGGGCCCAAGGUGGUGCUCGCUGUGAGAGCCCUCUGAAGAGUGUGGACUUUCUGGAAGCCUACCCCGACAUCCUUGGCCGGAGGUUCGAGGUCCCCAGCCUUGAGGACUACUUGGACUCCUCAGUCCCCCUGGCAGCAUACGAGUGGCUGGUUUGUUACCUGCUCCAAGAGAGUGACCGGAAAUUAAAUCAAGAGAAAAGAUCAGGAAGCAGCGACUUUGAAGCAAGAAACAACUGUCAGGAUUCCGGGGCCAGCCCUUGUUCCAGACGGGAACUGAGCGGUCAGCGGGUGUCCGAGCUCCAGAGCCGGCUCCAACCCCAGGUGUAUUACUGCCGCUCCUUGGCCCUGGCGUUCCUGGAGCUCACGGUCUUGCGGAGGUUCCACGAGUACACGCACCAGCCCCGCGUGCCGCCCCCGCUGCGGGCUGUGCUUGGGCGGCUCAGCGCGCUCUACGGCCUGUGGUCCCUGAGCCGGCACACUGCCCUGCUCUACCGAGGUGGCUACUUCUCUAGCGAGCAGGCAGGUAAAAUGAUGGAGAACGCCAUCUUGGACCUGUGUUCCCAGCUGAAAGAUGACGCGGUUGCCCUGGUGGACGUGAUCGCCCCUCCUGACUUUGUCCUGGACUCACCGAUUGGCAGAGCCGACGGCGAGCUCUAUAAAAACCUCUGGACUGCUGUCCUUCAGGAGAGCAAGGUGCUGGAGAGGGCCUCGUGGUGGCCAGAAUUUUCUGCCAACAAGCCUGUCAUAGGAAGUUGGAAAUCAAAGCUGUAGUCACGAGGUACACGUUCUGCUAAAUCUAAUUAAGCUAAUGAGGACAUUGGUCUCAAAAUCUGGUUCCAGAAGUUACUGGAAAUUGCUGCCGCUUUCUGAACACGCACCUCUGCCCUUAACUGACUGGUUGACUGUCCCUUACCUGACUGACAGGUGGCACUCGCCAUCCUGGGCUGGGCUGGGCUGUCCUGAGUCGCCCUGGAGGGGUGUCAGCUGAAGUGCAGGCUCACUGGGAUCUGUCGUGACUUGCUGUGUGAAGAGAGAACCUACAUGAUCACGUCCACCUGAUGGACUGUCGACUCUGAUGAGGAAAUGGACCCCAGAGGGCUAGCUUACUGCCCUGGGCCAGACAGCCAUGACGUGGCAGAGCUGGACCAGGCUCUCCGGUCUGACCCAAAGGCCCUGCACGGCCUCAGUCCAGCACGUCCUCGGGGCCAGGCACACGUCGGUAGUCGCUGGGAUCAGUGUUAUGGCUUCAACUAGGGAGCAAUCCCACCCGAUUUAAUAUCUGUCUGGUUGGGUGGUUUCCUUGGGUUUUAAAUAAACCCUUCACAUUUUUUAAGGCUGUUUUGUCCAUUAUACUCUUCUUUGCCUGCUUUCAGAGAGAAUGGGAACAACAAAGGUAUUCCAGACCCUUAGCAAUUUUGAUGGGCCGGUUCUGAGCACAAAUCCAAAUAGUAGAUCAGAGGAGCCUGUUGGUGCCAGAAGGAGGGGCUCGUUCCCCACAGGUCUCCUCAGGGGUCCCCAGGCCAGCCUUCCUGGUCCCAGCCCCUGCCGGCUGGGGUCACACCAAUUUCUAUCCAUGUUCCCCGGAGGCCACUGCGGGCUGCGUGUUUGUGGACGACGCUGCUUUACCCAGACCCCGUAGCUUUCCUGAGCAGUGAGGAGCUUUCUCUCAGGUCCUCUGACGCCCCCGCUGCUGUGUCUCAGCCACGCCCUCCGCCCCAGGACACCCCCUUAGGAGCAGGCCUCGGGCCCCGCUUCAGGAGCGACAGCUUUAUCUGGGCAUGUCGGUUUUUGUGUUUUGCCUUUUGUCGUAUGGGACCUUGGUUUAUUGUCUAGUCUUGGGUCUGGAGCCACCAGUUCUACCAACAGGUCAUAGAUGUGGUCCCAAGUCAAGAGUGUGUUGCCUCUAGGAACAUAAACGGGCUUGUCUGUAAGUGUCAGACGUGCCGGCCCCUUUGAUUCAGGAAAGCUCUGUGAUGUGUGACCAAGGCUGUCCCUGCACUGUUGCAUUCUCACGUCUGACUGUUAGGAAUGUCUCCAUUCCCGAAGGAUGGGAGCUGGCUCGCUCUGCAGGCAGGACGUGUCCUCGUCACGAAGGCCCGGAAGCAUAGGCUGUGAAGCACUCGACCUAGGUGCUGCACCCCCCGUCCCCAGCCUCACCAACCCCCGCUGGUUCAUCUGCCCCUGGCCCCCAGCUGCCUGGGCGCAGGGCUGCACCUGACGGCAGGAGUGGAGUCAGUUAAGGUGUGGAGAGUCAUUAAAGGUCAUUUUAAAAAUAAAGCAUCUGAAAACAUUGUGCAGUAAAAACUGGAAUAAUUGGAAUAAAUUUUAAAAAUUUAACCUCAUUGCUUUCUACCACUUUUUCUGAUUAUAAAACCAACACGUGGUCGUUUGGUACUAUUUCAGUAGUAGAGGAAAGUUCAAAGAAGACAGUGUCACUGAUAACCCCACCCUCGGGAAUAACCACUGGUCACAUGAUUUACUUUUGGGCCAUAGGGCACAGAACUGGGUCCACCUGUAAUCCUGGUUCCUGCUGGGUUUGCCCCAUGAACACUGAGGCCAGAAGGUGACAGUGACUUGUGCCUACCCCAUCCCUUGGUGGCCCUGUGGACCAUGUCAUCCCACCUACGGAUAACAUUCUAGCACACCCCAUUUCGAAUGCCUUCCUCCUCCUCAUGUGUUCGUGUAUACGUGUGUGUGUGUGUGAUUUUCCUCAUAGAAAUGGGGUCGUGCUCUUGCUGGACUUCUUUUCCCCCCUAAAGGUACAUCACAGGCAUCUCGCCCGUCCAGCAGCAUGGAUUACAAGAUGAACAGACCUCCUCUUCAGGGUUGUAGAGAUUUAGGGUUUGUGCUUUCUAUGGCGGCUCUGGGGUGGCCAUUCACGCACAUGCCUCUCGUGCGCCUGGAAGCGGACUUGGGAGCAUCACAGGCGGGCUUGUGAUGAGGUCCCAGGCCCUGGAGCAGGCCGGAUGAGCAUAGGAUGAGAGCGCAGAGUCGGGGCCAGACUGCCUGGGUGGGUCCCAGCAGCCCUGCUGAUGAAACAGGAUGAAGGCGAGAAUCUGCCUCCUUGGGCGGCUGUAAGCCUUAAAAUGCGCUAAUCUCGAAAGCACGCAGCAGAGAGCCUGGGUGUAGACGGCGCUCCGUAAGCCUCUUUGUUACGAGUCGUCCUCCCGGAACUGCGUGUGUCCCCCUAGGAGGCGGGAGUCUUUGUUCCCAGGCUCCCACCAGCAGUGUCCCCCUGUUCCUUACUGUUCUCUUACCAUCUGAGAGGUUACAUAGAACCACAUGUCUUGGGUCCGUUUGCUUUUCUGUGCUCCCUACUGGGAACUGAUCAUGUCUCCUCAUAUGUUUAUAGGCUAUUUCUAUUGGUUCUCCUGUGAUAAUUGCCUCUUCUUGUUCUUUGCCUAAUG